rnacentral:misc_RNA from 1 species
UCCGGUUUAACACCGGCAGUCUCCCUAGAGUCCCCAACUUAAUGCUGGUAACUAAGGACAGGGGUUGCGCUCGUUGCCGGACUUAACCGAACAUUUCACAACACGAGCUGACGACAGCCAUGCAGCACCUGUUUAUGAGUCCCCGAAGGGAAAGCCGUAUCUCUACGGAUGUCUCACAAUGUCAAGACCAGGUAAGGUUCUGCGCGUUGCUUCGAAUUAAACCACAUACUCCACCUCUUGUGCGGGCCCCCGUCAAUUCCUUUGAGUUUUAGUCUUGCGACCGUACUUCCCAGGCGGGAUACUUAAUGUGUGAACUUUGGCACUCAGAGGGUUAACUCUCCGAACGCCGAGUAUCCAUCGUUUACGGCGUGGACUAC